CAAAGAAUGCUGGUGUGACAGACUGUUCAUAAUUGUUUACUUCUUUAUUUUCACUAGAAAUUCAAAACUUAACAGAGCUUUUACCUGCUGGAAGGGAUGCUGCCCAAUUCAUGAAUCAUUGAAUAAAGCUGGGCAGCCAGGAGUGCCUGAG